UAACGGCGAGUGAAGCGGGUCAAGCUCAUAAUGUGAAUCUGCACUGGAAACGGUGCCGAGUUGUGUUCUAUAGAAGUACCGUCGGUCGACGCUCUGGGUCAAGUCUCUUGGAAAGGAGCAGCUGAGAGGGUGAUACUCCCGUUCUUACCUGGAGUGUGCGACCAUGGCACGUAUCUUCGACGAGUCGAGUUGCUUGGGAUUGCAGCUCAAAGUUGGUGGUAAAUUCCAUCUAAAGCUAAAUAUCGGUGGGAGACCGAUAGUGUAAAAGUACCAUGAGGGAAAGAUGCAAAGAACUUUGAAAAGAGAGUUAAAGAGUACCUGAAAUUGCUGAAAGGGAAGCGAAGGAAACCAGUGCUGUCUCGUACCAUUCUUCCUGUGCUGCUUGCAGCGCGGGCGCUGUGGUGCGGGGUAAGUCAGCAUCGUUUCUUCUCGGAGCAAAUGGCUUGUCAGGAGGCAGUCCAAUUUCUGGACGAUUACUGGCUUGUGUUGCUCUGGGUGGGAUCGAGGCUAGUCACUUGUGCUCGUGAUGCUGACGAAAUGG
rnacentral:rRNA from 1 species